CCCUCCCCCCUGCUCUGUAUUCUAAGGACACAGGUCUGCACAGGAGAAAGACUUCACAGAGAAGAUGAGUGUUAUCUGAAGGGGAGGAUGAGAAGUUUCCAUACCUGAGCCAGGAUCCAGCAGUCUCCAGCGACGAUCCGGGGUCCCCAAGCAUCUUCUCCUACAGAUACGUGAAUGCGGACGACUAUGUCAGAUUUGUCGGAUUGCAAUGAUGAACAGCAUUUUUAAAUAUGUCAAUUAAAUGGUUAACGUGGG